CGCGGGGUGGAGCAGCUCGGUAGCUCGUUGGGCUCAUAACCCGAAGGUCGCAGGUUCAAAUCCUGCCCCCGCAA
rnacentral:tRNA from 2 species